CUCUUAAUUGGGGGCUUGAAUGAACGGUCGGACAUGGAGGAAUCUGUCUCGGCGCGGAGGACGUGAAAUUGACUUUUGUGUGAAAAGGCAUUAAUGGGUUAUAGGGACGAUAAGACCCUAUAAAACUUGACGGGUGGGCGCUUGGUCUCGGAGUUGGGGAUAAGGGGGCCCUGGCGGUGUCCGUUUUGCUGGGGCGGCGGAAAUGCAAUUGGUAACCGUUUCUUAGUUGGUAUAGCUAUAGCUAGAUUUCGACCCUGGGGUCCGGGUUAUGAGUGUAAGUUACUUUAGGGAUAACAGCGUUA
rnacentral:rRNA from 1 species